rnacentral:rRNA from 1 species
AGACCCGAAACCCGGUGAUCUAGCCAUGGGCAGGUUGAAGGUUGGGUAACACUAACUGGAGGACCGAACCGACUAAUGUUGAAAAAUUAGCGGAUGACCUGUGGCUGGGGGUGAAAGGCCAAUCAAACCGGGAGAUAGCUGGUUCUCCCCGAAAGCUAUUUAGGUAGCGCCUCGUGAAUUCAUCUCCGGGGGUAGAGCACUGUUUCGGCUAGGGGGCCAUCCCGGCUUACCAACCCGAUGCAAACUGCGAAUACCGGAGAAUGUUAUCACGGGAGACACACGGCGGGUGCUAACGUCCGUCGUGAAGAGGGAAACAACCCAGACCGCCAGCUAAGGUCCCAAAGUCAUGGUUAAGUGGGAAACGAUGUGGGAAGGCCCAGACAGCCAGGAUGUUGGCUUAGAAGCAGCCAUCAUUUAAAGAAAGCGUAAUAGCUCACUGGUCGAGUCGGCCUGCGCGGAAGAUGUAACGGGGCUAAACCAUGCACCGAAGCUGCGGCAGCGACACUGUGUGUUGUUGGGUAGGGGAGCGUUCUGUAAGCCUGUGAAGGUGGCCUGUGAGGGUUGCUGGAGGUAUCAGAAGUGCGAAUGCUGACAUAAGUAACGAUAAAGCGGGUGAAAAGCCCGCUCGCCGGAAGACCAAGGGUUCCUGUCCAACGUUAAUCGGGGCAGGGUGAGUCGACCCCUAAGGCGAGGCCGAAAGGCGUAGUCGAUGGGAAACGGGUUAAUAUUCCCGUACUUGGUGUUACUGCGAAGGGGGGACGGAGAAGGCUAUGUUGGCCGGGCGACGGUUGUCCCGGUUUAAGCGUGUAGGUGUGUGUUCCAGGUAAAUCCGGUUCACUUUAACACUGAGGCGUGACGACGAGGCACUACGGUGCUGAAGCAACAAAUGCCCUGCUUCCAGGAAAAGCCUCUAAGCAUCAGGUAACAUCAAAUCGUACCCCAAACCGACACAGGUGGUCAGGUAGAGAAUACCAAGGCGCUUGAGAGAACUCGGGUGAAGGAACUAGGCAAAAUGGUGCCGUAACUUCGGGAGAAGGCACGCUGACACGUAGGUGAAGUGAUUUACUCAUGGAGCUGAAGUCAGUCGAAGAUACCAGCUGGCUGCAACUGUUUAUUAAAAACACAGCACUGUGCAAACACGAAAGUGGACGUAUACGGUGUGACGCCUGCCCGGUGCCGGAAGGUUAAUUGAUGGGGUCAGCGCAAGCGAAGCUCCUGAUCGAAGCCCCGGUAAACGGCGGCCGUAACUAUAACGGUCCUAAGGUAGCGAAAUUCCUUGUCGGGUAAGUUCCGACCUGCACGAAUGGCGUAAUGAUGGCCAGGCUGUCUCCACCCGAGACUCAGUGAAAUUGAACUCGCUGUGAAGAUGCAGUGUACCCGCGGCAAGACGGAAAGACCCCGUGAACCUUUACUAUAGCUUGACACUGAACAUUGAGCCUUGAUGUGUAGGAUAGGUGGGAGGCUUUGAAGUGUGGACGCCAGUCUGCAUGGAGCCGACCUUGAAAUACCACCCUUUAAUGUUUGAUGUUCUAACGUGGACCCGUAAUCCGGGUUGCGGACAGUGUCUGGUGGGUAGUUUGACUGGGGCGGUCUCCUCC